rnacentral:rRNA from 1 species
AUUGAACGCUGGCGGCAGGCCUAACACAUGCAAGUCGAGCGGCAGCGGGAAAGUAGCUUGCUACUUUUGCCGGCGAGCGGCGGACGGGUGAGUAAUGCCUGGGAAAUUGACCAGUCGAGGGGGAUAACAGGUGGACACGACUGCUAGGACCGCAGAUGCCCUACGUGGGAAAGCAGGGGACCUGCGGGCCUUGCGCGAUUGGAUAGGCUCGGGUGGGAUUAGCUAGUUGGUGAGGUAAUUGCUCACCAAGGCGACGAUCCCUAGCUGGUCGGGGAGGAUGAUCAGCCACACUGGAACUGAGACACGGUCCAGACUCCUAUGGGAGGCAGCAGUGGGGAAUAUUGCACAAUGGGGGAAACCCUGAUGCAGCCAUGCCGCGUGUGUGAAGAAGGCCUUCGGGUUGUAAAGCACUUUCAGCGAGGAGGAAAGGUUGAUGCCUAAUACGUAUCAACUGUGACGUUACUCGCAGAAGAAGCACCGGCUAACUCCGUGCCAGCCGCCGCCGUAAGAC